GACGAACGCUGGCGGCGUGCUUAACACAUGCAAGUCGAGCGAUGAAGUUCCUUCGGGAAUGGAUUAGCGGCGGACGGGUGAGUAACACGUGGGUAACCUGCCUCAUAGAGGGGAAUAGCCUUCCGAAAGGAAGAUUAAUACCGCAUAAGAUUGUAGUUUCGCAUGAAACAGCAAUUAAAGGAGCAAUCCGCUAUGAGAUGGACCCGCGUCGCAUUAGCUGGUUGGUGAGGUAACGGCUCACCAAGGCGACGAUGCGUAGCCGACCUGAGAGGGUGAUCGGCCACAUUGGGACUGAGACACGGCCCAGACUCCUACGGGAGGCAGCAGUGGGGAAUAUUGCACAAUGGGGGAAACCCUGAUGCAGCAACGCCGCGUGAGUGAUGACGGUCUUCGGAUUGUAAAACUCUGUCUUCAGGGACGAUAAUGACGGUACCUGAGGAGGAAGCCACGGCUAACUACGUGCCAGCAGCCGCGGUAA
rnacentral:rRNA from 1 species